CCUACGGGCGGCUGCAGUGAGGAAUAUUGGUCAAUGGACGAGAGUCUGAACCAGCCAAGUAGCGUGAAGGAUGACUGCCCUAUGGGUUGUAAACUUCUUUUAUAAAGGAAUAAAACGAGGCACGUGUGCCUUUUUGCAUGUACUUUAUGAAUAAGGAUCGGCUAACUCCGUGCCAGCAGCCGCGGUACUACGGAGGAUCCGAGCGUUAUCCGGAUUUAUUGGGUUUAAAGGGAGCGUAGAUGGGUUGUUAAGUCAGUUGUGAAAGUUUGCGGCUCAACCGUAAAAUUGCAAUUGAUACUGGCAGUCGUGAGUACAGUUGAGGUAGGCGGAAUUCGUGGUGUAGCGGUGAAAUGCUUAGAGAUCACGAAGAACCCCGAUUGCGAAGGCAGCUUACUAAACUGUGACUGACAUUGAUGCGCGAAAGUGUGGGUAUCAAACAGGAUUAGAUACCCGUGUAGUC
rnacentral:rRNA from 1 species